GUCUAUGGCCAUGCUACCCUGAACAAGCCCGAUCCCGUCUCAUCUCGGAAGCUAAGCAGGGUCAGGCCUGGUUAGUACUUGGAUGGGAGACCACCUAGGAUGACCAGGUGCUGUAGGCG
rnacentral:rRNA from 1 species